AUGAUUGUGUUGCACAUGCAGUGUUCUUAUCUCUCCCGGGUAACUCCAGCCAAGUCUGUCCAGGAGAAGCUAGCAGAGGCCAUUUUAACGGAGGGCCAGUGCCACUCUGAACCAGAACUCAGUGACACCACCACAGAAGAAGACGAGGAGUUUACUGGUAGAGACAACCAGCAAAACAAUAAAGACGCUACUCCUAUUCAUUGCGAGACCUCAGAGACGCAAGAACCGACCCAGCCAGAGGAGAACAAAUGUGAGGCCAGCCUCGUCGACGCCGCAGAAGUUGAAGAGGAGACAGUCGAGCAGCAGGACGACCAGGAAGAACUCAAAGCAAAGCAAACCAACGAAGAAGCCGGCGAGGAGAAAGACGAAGAACUGCAAGCAGAAGAAGAGACGCCUGCAUUGGAAGCAGAUCCCGUAGAGGAAACGAUAGAGACAGAGAAGGAGGACUCAGAGGAGAAGGACGACAUGGAGGCAUCUCCACCCCAGGAGCCUGAGGAGACGGUGGAGGAGGAGAACCAGGAAGCGACGCCUCAAGCGGAUGAACCGGCGAAACCCGGGGACAAGGCUGCGGAGGAGGAGGUGGUGGAAGUGAUGGAGGAGGUGAAGGAGGUGGAGGAGGUGAAGGAGGUGGAGGAGGAGGUGAAGGAGGUGGAGGAGUCGAAGGACGAUGUGGAGGAGGUGGAGGAGGAGGUGAAGGAGGUGGAGGAUGCGGUGGAGGAGUCGAAGGAGGAGGUGGAGGAUGCGGUGGAGGAGUCGAAGGAGUAUGUGGAGGAGGUGAAGGAGGUGGUGGAGGAUGUUAAGGAGGAGGUGGAGGAGGUUAAAAAGGAAGAAGGCAUGGAGGCCGACAGUCAACCAGAGGCCAAAAACAAUGAAGCCAAUGAGGACUUGGCCGCAUUAGAACCCGAGGAAAAGAAAGAUGUUGAAACCGCUCUGCAACAAGACGCGGAGGAGCCGUCAGCUGCAGCUACAAGUGAAACGGUGGACGAGAACCCCCAGCUCUCAGACGAGGAGCCGUCGACUGCGGCUACAAGUCAAACGGUGGACGAGAACCCCCAGCCCUCGGAGGAGCCGGCUACAAGUCAAACGGCGGACACCAACACCCCGCCAUCGGAGGAGCCGGCUACAAGUCAAACGGCGGACAACAACACCCAGCUCUCAGAGGAAGAGUCGGCUACAAGUCAAGCGGUGGACACCAACACCCAGCCCUCGGAGGAGCCGGCUACAAGUCAAACGGCGGACACCAACACCCCGCCCUCGGACGAUCCGGCUGACAUCGGCGGUGGAGAGACAGCUGUGACUGGCAGGGGAAAACUGGGGGCAGGUGAGGCCACUGUGAAGACGGCAGGGACCCGAGUCCCGGCAGAGAGUUCAAGUAGCUCAUCAGAGCUGAGUGGAGCCGCCGCGGUGCUUCAAGCCGAACAGACAGCAGCAGCAGUGGAAACAAGUGGGACUAAAAUAGACCAUGACGAGCCUGUGGAGGAUUUACAUGAAGAGAGCGCUUCACAUGAGGAGAUGGAGAGCUUAAGAGGCAGAAUGACACAUGAUACAGGAGGGGAGGGCGGAAGUCUGACGUCUGUACCGCAGAACAAUGUUGAAAAGGACGAUGUAGAAAAGCAGGAGGAAGGCAAGGAUAAUAAUGUAGAAAAGAGUGAGGCAGGGCAGGUUGAAGAGGGGAGUGAUUUGGAGGCCAAAGAACAUACCGGAAACGACAGGGAGGAGGAGGAAGAAUGUAAAACAGUGGAGGAAUCAAUUCAGAAAGUUGAAGCCAUGGAAGCAACAGAAAGGACCAAAGAUGGCAUAAAGGCUGAAGCAAAGGAAACAUUAGAAGUAACAUAUGACAAAGCUAGUGAAGUUGCAGAUGAAGAGAAUGUGCAAAGAGAGGAAAAGCCAGAGAAAGACAUUGAGGAAACAGGAGAUGAAAACAGUUCAAAUAAAGUUGAUGUAGAGGGAUCCGAAAUACAGGUGGCUGAAAUAGAAAACAGUGUAGAUACCAAAGAAAGUUCUCAGUCUACUGUAGACCAAGCUGUAAAACAGGCAGAACAAGUAGAAGAGAAUGACCCCCAGAAACAAGCCUCUGAGACUGCUGUUAAACUGUCCGAAACAACUGUGGAUCAAGAACCAGUGACAGAGGCUGAAAAGACAUCAGAUGAAAGCAAUGUUGAAACAGAAAAUGUUGGGGACGCUCUCGAAGCAGACAAGGCCAUAGGGAUUCAACCCGAGGACGAAGCUAAAGAACUCAAAGGCAACAUGCCCGGGUCCGAUGGUGAUAAUGACGAUAAAGACGUUGCAGAAAAUUCAGGAGCAGCAGGACAGGGGACAUCUGCUGAAACAAAGGAGAACAUUGAAGACCAGGGCAAUCAAGCCAAACGCGUUGUGGUAGGAGAGAAGAUAGAUCCUAAGCAUUCAGAAGAACCAAAUGAAGAGAAGAAGAAGGAGGAGGAUCGCAUUAAUGACCAUGAGGAAAAAGACAAUCAAAGUUUACCGGAAAAUGUUGAUCAGGGACCUAGAGUUGAUCAAGUUCCAAAAGUGGAGGAAGAACAGCUGCAGGGUGGUUCUAAAGUCAUAGAAUCUGCUGAAUCCAAGGAAGCCAAGGAGCCUCCUGACAAAAAAGACACAGGUAUUGACGAUGAAAGCCCAGAUGAAAAUCAGGGCAAAGGUUCAGAAAUGAACACAAAAAAGGAUGACCAGAAUCACGGCGUAAAAGUUGAUUCCCUUGACGGACCUACAGUAGUGGAUACAGCAGACAACGUAGACGAUGAAAAGGUAGAAUCCAUCAUAGAGUCUAUUCUGAAUACCGACGACAACCACACAGACACCGAUCAUAACUCUGUUGUCGCUGUUGAGCCCAGUGCUGUGAGUGGAGAACACAGUGCAGACACAGAAGAAGGAAGCAAACCUUCGGAGGAAGCCGAAAGUGUGGUGUUCAAACCAGAAGCAGACCCAGCCCAGCCUGCUGUCCGUCAGGCAGCACAGAGCAGAGAGUGGGGCAAGGACGAUCCUGGCCUUCUAGAGGUCAAUGAAACUAAUGAGAAAGAAUCUGUGACUGCAGAUGUCUUGGAGAGUAAAGACAACAGGGACAAUCUUGUCACAGACUGGGUGACGUUACAUCAAACUUCAAAGUACUUUGAGACAUUUGUUGAAUCUCUAGAUGACAUGAAAGAGUUGCCAUCGAAUGCCAGUGCCGGUGCGUCUGACUAUGGGCUAUUGCAAUCUGCAAGCCCGCCUCAAAACAUGACCAGGUCUGAGAAGAAUGAGGAAAAUAUUGAGAAGCACGAAAAGGAGAGAGAACCCUUGUUAAAAAAUAGCAAUAACUCUCCCGACAAUACCAAAGUUGAACUUGCACGGUCGGACCUGAGAAGCAAUCCUUCCGAAGGCCUGGUGGAGAGAGAACCUGCUGAAGUUGAACAGAAGUUGAAGGAGCUAACUGAAGUGAAAACCGUAGUACCCACUUCAGAGGCAGACCAGAGUACCGAAGGGUCAAACCGGACAGACAUCAAGGGAGAGAACACUUUAGGGAAGCACAAAAACGACACUGGCUCAUCGGGAGGAGACAGAGAUAAAGAUGCCUCUACCAAGGGGAACAUUGCACACUGUGACAGUUCCAAAAUGGAGACGGAAGACAUUGGAGAAAACAAUAACGUAGAGUCUGUCCAACCUGAGAGCACCACCGAGCCUGACUCUGAGCUCCCAACAGAGAAGGAAGAAGUGAAAGAUGAACCUGAGGUAGAGGAAAACCAAACAACGGUAGAGGAGAUAAAAGAUGUACCUCAGCCUGACGACACUGAAGAUGAGGCCCUUCAGGCUCCAGGAGGGCUGUCGGAACCGAAAGCCUCCCAGCCAGAGGCACAACUUGACGACACCAAAGAAACAAUGGAAAGCAAAGAGGCAGACAACACGGAAGUCACAUCCGUAACCGAUCUUAUAGCUGUAACCAAUCUCACAUCUUCCUCGACGUCCGAUAACGGUGUCGACGAGGGCGGUCAAAAUAAACCUCAGGUCCAGUCAAAACCGUUGGAUAGGAGCGGUAGUUUGAGCAGCGAGAACAAAGAGGUUCAGUUGAUUGAGGAUUUCAAACCCACUGUAAGUAAGGACCAGCUGAGCGCCUAUAGAGUGGAAGAGACCUCCCUGUUUGGUCGCAGUUCAUAUCCCCAGUUUACAACACAGACAGGAAGUGGCUAUUGA
ensembl:lncRNA